AUUGAACGCUGGCGGCAUGCUUUACACAUGCAAGUCGAACGGUAACAGGCCUUCGGGCGCUGACGAGUGGCGAACGGGUGAGUAAUGCGUCGGAACGUGCCGAGUAGUGGGGGAUAACGCAGCGAAAGUUGUGCUAAUACCGCAUACGUACUGAGGUGGAAAGUGGGGGACCUUCGGGCCUCACGCUAUUCGAGCGGCCGACGUCUGAUUAGCUAGUAGGUGAGGUAAAGGCUCACCUAGGCGACGAUCAGUAGCGGGUCUGAGAGGAUGAUCCGCCACACUGGGACUGAGACACGGCCCAGACUCCUACGGGAGGCAGCAGUGGGGAAUUUUGGACAAUGGGCGAAAGCCUGAUCCAGCCAUGCCGCGUGUCUGAAGAAGGCCUUCGGGUUGUAAAGGACUUUUGUCAGGGAGGAAAUCCCUAGCGUUAAUACCGCUGGGGGAUGACAGUACCUGAAGAAUAAGCACCGGCUAACUACGUGCCAGCCGCCGCCGUAACAC
rnacentral:rRNA from 1 species